rnacentral:tRNA from 1 species
GCGCUGAUGGUGUAGGUCGUAGCAUAUCUGCCCGGAAAGCAGACAGUGCGGAUUCGAGUCCCGCCUGGCUCA